ACAUACGACCAUAGAAUGAAGAACAUUGGGCAUCCCGUCCGCUCUGCCAUACACAAGCUUCAUAUCGUUAGACUAGUAGUUGAGUGGGUGACCAUCAGCGAAUCCCUAAUGUUGUAUGUU
rnacentral:rRNA from 1 species